CUGUGGGCAGUUCUGCUCAGCUGUGUGUGGGGGAAGCAGAUCCUGGAGCAUCUCCACCAUGGUCUGGACCCAUCUCCUUCUCACCCUCCUCACUCUCUGUUCAGAGUCCCAGGUACACUCUGAGUUGAUCCAAGAAUCUUCGAUGUCAGCAUCUAAAGGGGAGAAGGUCACUCUCUCCUGCACUGGAAAUAGCAACAAUGUUGGAACUUAUUAUGUAGGCUGGUAUCAACAGAUUAUAGGUUCUUCCCCCAAAACUGUGAUGCUUGAAACUACUAGGCCUUCAGGAAUCCCUGAUCGCUUCUCUGGCUCCCAUUCUGGCAACACAGCCACCCUGACCAUCACUGGGCUCCAAGUGGAGGAUGAGGCCAAUUAUUACUGUGAAGCAUGGGACAAAAGCCUCAGUGCUCACACAGUGCUUCAGAUGCAUGGGGAACUGAGACAAAAACCUGCUCUUGCCCUCAUGAGAGGCUGA